AGUGAACGCUGGCGAUAGGCCUAACACAUGCAAGUCGAACGGCAGCACAGUAAGAGCUUGCUCUUACGGGUGGCGAGUGGCGGGCGGGUGAGGAAUACAUCGGAAUCUACUUUUUCGUGGGGGAUAACGUAGGGAAACUUACGCUAAUACCGCAUACGACCUACGGGUGAAAGCAGGGGAUCUUCGGACCUUGCGCGAUUGAAUGAGCCGAUGUCGGACUAGCUAGUUGGCGGGGUAAAGGCCCACCAAGGCGACGAUCCGUAGCUGGUCUGAGAGGAUGAUCAGCCACACUGGAACUGAGACACGGUCCAGACUCCUACGGGAGGCAGCAGUGGGGAAUAUUGGACAAUGGGCGCAAGCCUGAUCCAGCCAUACCGCGUGGGUGAAGAAGGCCUUCGGGUUGUAAAGCCCUUUUGUUGGGAAAGAAAAGCAGCAGGUUAAUACCCCGCUGUUCUGACGGUACCCAAAGAAUAAGCACCGGCUAACUUCGUG
rnacentral:rRNA from 1 species